AUUGAACGCUGGCGGCAGGCCUAACACAUGCAAGUCGAACGAGUGGCGGACGGGUGAGUAAUGUCUGGGAAACUGCCCGAUGGAGGGGGAUAACUACUGGAAACGGUAGCUAAUACCGCAUACCAUCGGAUGUGCCCCGAUGGGAUUAGCUAGUAGGUGGGGUAACGGCUCACCUAGGCGACGAUCCCUAGCUGGUCUGAGAGGAGGACCAGCCACACGGGAACUGAGCAACGGUCCAGACUCCUACGGGAGGCAGCAGUGGGGAAUAUUGCACAAUGGGCGCAAGCCUGAUGCAGCCAGGCCGCGUGUAUGAAGAAGGCUUUCGGGUUGUAAAGUACUUUCAGCGAGGAGGCGUUACUCGAAGAAGAAGCACCGGCUAACUCCGUGCCAGCAGCCGCGGUAAUAC
rnacentral:rRNA from 1 species